GAACCUGCGGAGGGAUCAUUGCUGGAACGCGCUUCGGCGCACCCAGAAACCCUUUGUGAACUUAUACCUUACUGUUGCCUCGGCGCAGGCCGGCCCCUCCACCGGGGCCCCUCGGAGACGAGGAGCAGCCCGCCGGCGGCCAACCAAACUCUUGUUUCUUAGUGAAUCUCUGAGUAAAAAAACAUAAAUGAAUCAAAACUUUCAACAACGGAUCUCUUGGUUCUGGCAUCGAUGAAGAACGCAGCGAAAUGCGAUAAGUAAUGUGAAUUGCAGAAUUCAGUGAAUCAUCGAAUCUUUGAACGCACAUUGCGCCCUCUGGUAUUCCGGAGGGCAUGCCUGUUCGAGCGUCAUUUCAACCCUCAAGCCUGGCUUGGUGUUGGGGCACUGCUUCGAGAGGAGCAGGCCCUGAAAUCUAGUGGCGAGCUCGCCAGGACCCCGAGCGUAGUAGUUAUAUCUCGUUCUGGAAGGCCCUGGCGGUGCCCUGCCGUUAAAACCCCCAACUUCUGAAAUUUUGACCUCGGAUCAGGUAGGAAUACCCGCUGAACUUAAGCAUAUC
rnacentral:rRNA from 1 species